UUUAGGCAGGCACAUGGAUAGGAAAUGUUUAGAAUGGAAUGAUGCAGAGAUUAGCAUGGCCCCUGUGCAAGGAUGACACGCAAAUUCGUGAAGCGUUCCAUAUUUUU